UACGUAGGGAGCAAGCGUUGUCCGGAAUCAUUGGGCGUAAAGCGCGCGUAGGCGGCCUCAUAAGUCCGUUGUGAAAGUCAAAGGCUCAACCUUUGAAAGCCGAUGGAUACUGUGAGGCUAGAGUCCGGAAGAGGCGAGUGGAAUUCCUGGUGUAGCGGUGGAAUGCGCAGAUAUCAGGAGGAACACCCAUGGCGAAGGCAGCAAACUGGGCAUUAUCUGACGCUGAGGCGCGAAAGCGUGGGUAGCAAACAGG
rnacentral:rRNA from 1 species